AGAACCCCCGCAGCAGGGGUGGUGUGGAAACCUCAUGACAGAAAUUAAUUGUCUCUUUCCCAGGUCUGUGUGUGCGGCUGGGGAGCAGCAACCGCGGGGCUCCAGGGGGGAACUGAGGCCAGGGUGGCUCCCUAUCCGCCAGACGGGAACCAAAACCUGGGGCCUAGAGUCGGGAGGACCCAGGCUCCCGGGACAGGCUGCCCAGUCCCCUCGCCUUGCCGCAGGGAAUGGGGGCUCUGGGCAGGAGCAGGGACAAGUUGGAGCAGGGGCAGAGUGAGUCACCGCCCUGCCAGUUACCUCGGGAGAUGUCAACAGAUAGGCCCCCAUGCUGGGGUCCCAGGCAGGGAUGCCAGAGGCAGGCAGGGAGGAGCACAUGUGUGUGCAAACACACACACACACACACACACACGCACACGCGCGCGCGCGCGCAUAGGCGUCACAGCGGGUGAUGACAACACUGUCAGAUACACAUGAAUAAGGUGCAGAAGUCCCCGGGGACAGUGGCAGGCACCAGAGGCAGGGGCUUCCUGGCUGCCCUCACCCUGGAGGAGAGGGCUGGGCUGGGGGCCAGCUCACCGGCAUGUCUCACGGGCCCCCAACCAUGCCGAGGCCAGGCCUUGCACCUGCCCAGAGCUAAGGAGUUCUGGGGAUGCUCGUCACCCACUGGGCAAACACCUGCCUCACCCCGCUCUCCAGGCCAGGCCCGUCAGCCCUCCUCCACGGGCUUGGCCAGGCAUAACCAGGGAGGCCUGGGGCUGGUGAGGGUGCCCACAUUGGGUUGAGGUUUACUCCAGGUCACCCACUUCCGGUGCCUCAGAUGAGUCAACCAGGAAGGGGCGCAGACCCACCCCCAGCCGGGCCCCCCCUCCCUGGCUUUGGGAAAUAGACCUCAGGAAGCCUGGCCAGCGACUCGGACCGACAAAGGGGCUGAGAUGCGCCGGCCCGGAGCUGUCUCCACCCUGACUGCGCCUAAAACGUCCCAGCUUCCAGGGCGCAUCAGCUCCCGAUUUGUCGCCCUUCCCUCUGCCGGUACCAUCAGUCCCCCGGUCUGACGCUGGCCGGCCCCACCCUUCAUAAUUGUGCUUUUGUCGCCAGUGUGUCUGCUGGGUCUGUCUCCAGAGCGCGGGCUUCACGGUCUCUGAACCACCCCGGGGCUUAGCGUGGGGCGCAGUAAGCCCUUGUCUCCUUGACCCCUCCCAGUGCCUAGAGUCCAAGGCCAGGGAGGGGCCCCGGUUGGAGGAGCGGAGAAGGUCGUAGAAAGCAGGCACCUUCACCGCAGCCCCUUGGGGGCCGGCCUCGUCCUCAGUCCCCAGAACUUUCCCUGACUUCUCCCCCCCCAUCCUCCCCCCACAAAUCAACUCUGCCCGUGCAGCCCCCACCUGACACAAGGAAAGGGGGGUCGUCAGCCCCAUCAGAGGCCUCGCUCUAUGGGGCAAGGACCACCUCUGCACCCUGUCAGGCUUGCCGAUCUGUCCCCGCUGGCACCUCGGCCCUCCAGAUGCCCUGCCGGUGUCCCAGCCGCCGCUGUGGGGUGCAGGCCCCUGGAAGAGACGACGAAGCACCAAAAGCCACCUUCGGCACGAUUAAAUGUUUUUUAAUGCAAGAAAAGAAGUUACCUUCGGUUGCUUUUUCUUCCCACAAGUAAGUGUGGAUGGGCCAUGGCACCUUGACAGUGACUUCCGGACCGGGAGGCUGCCCCCACCCUCACUGGAUACUGCACAGAACGGUGCGCCGGAGCCAGCGGCAGGUGACAAGGUCAGUGCCAGUGACUCAGACCCAGCGGAGGCCCAGAGAGAGCAGUACUGGAGGCAUGGGGCUGGGGGGGGGGGGGGGGGGGUCGAAGAGGUCAGAUGGAGGAGUCCCUGAGACCUACCUGGGGAGUGCCUGGUGGGAAGCCUGCCCCCCCCCGCCCCCCACCAGUGACGGGGACACCCGCGAGUGCGGCCAGGCCCCCCGAGGCCGUGCUGGCAAAGCUGAUGGGGCCACCUGAUCUGGUGGCUCGCUGCCUCGGGUCCCUCACUGCUCAGCCUGGAGGGAGGUUAUUCUAAGGGCAUCCAAGACAACACGCUGCCCUCCUCUGCUCGAUGGGAGGACGACGGAAGGAGGGUAGGAGAGGGCCUCCUCGAAUGCGGGCACGAGGAGGGGAGGGGCUGGGUCGUCCCUGGUCUCUGCUGUCUGGACGCAAGGCCCAGGCCGGAACGCUAAGCCAUGCUGGCUUCGUCGGGGCCCGCCACCCAUCCAAGGUGGGGGAGGAGGCACACCAGAAUGUUCCAGGCAAGUGGAAGGGAGAAGCAAGCAACGCCGGCUCUUGGGCCCCCGACGGGGUGGGCUCUGUACAUCCAACGGCUCUUGGGUGGGACCGCCCCUACUUGGAGUGUGGGAAAGGGGACAAAAUCACAGCUUCUGAACAAGUGGUUAGGAAGUUACUGAAAAACUCGGUCGAGUAUGAGAGGCGUCACUUUACAGAACAAAGCUGGCUUCUGUGUUUUUCUGGGAAACGUUCUCGCGUACCUACUCAUCCCCCGGACCCCACGAGAAAGGUAGGUCGGCUUAUUUCUGUGCCUGCCAAGCUGGGGGAGCGGGGUGGGACAGGAGAGCACAGAGCAGGGCCCGUGCAUAGGGGGCCACCACGGAGGGCAAAGAAGAAGGCACCAGAACCAACCUAAUCCAGGAGCACGGGGAGGGGGCGGAGCCGCACAGGGAAGGAAGCCACCGGCCCAGCGAAGCCACGCUCAGUUCAGCGACAAGCUGGGAUCCUGGGGCGCCUGUCUGCACACGGCCCCGGGGCCCCCCCACAGCUGCCGGGUGGGGGACAAGCCAGGGUGGGCACGGGCCGUACGGCGGGACAGGAGAGGACAGAGGCUUGUUGUGUGCGGGGCUGUCAGACGGAGGAGGCAAGAAAGAACGCUGCCUCUGACGUUAUAUAUUAAAAAUAUCCAUAGUUCUUGUGCACAAAAUUCCAUCAUUCACAUGCGAGUAUCACCCGCCUCCCUGCUGGGCCCAGGAACAGCCUUAAAAGAAAGAUGAUGGUUUUCCUUUUCAAGAGCUGAGGAAACAUCGCUCAGUCUUUAUGGACCUUGAGACCUGGUGACCCUUCCCCUCCCCCCAGUCUCUGCCUGGCCAGGCGGGCGCGGCGGUCACGGUCACUCGUGCCUCCGCUUGGAGGGCGGGAUCAGGUGCGGGGGCAGGUCGGCAGGCAGCUCGUGGCCCUCCAGCUUGACUUUGAUGAGGUGGUUGGCCAGGGCAAACUCCUCGUCAUCCAGCAGCCCGUCCUUGUCCACAUCGGCCAGCUUCCAGAUCUUCCCCAGCACCGUAUUGGGCAGCUUGGACUUCACCAUCUCCUUCUUGGCGUUGGCGCCCGUGAUCUUGCCGUUGACGGGCGACAGCGUGUAGAAGAUCUCGUCGUAGGUGGGCUUGUCCUUGCCCACCACCCACUCCACGUCGUCGAUGCCCUCGCCGGCCCCCUCACCGUAGCCGUGCCCAAAGGGCCCGUUCAUGGUGCCUUCGAAGGCGCCGCCCUUCACGGCCUGGGAGGGCAUCAGGGACUCCUCCUGGCGCACCAUGACCAUCAGCCGGGCGAUGUCGUUGGCCAGCAUGUCGUCCACCGUGUCCAGCAGCUUGGGUUUCAAGGCCUGGAACUUGCUGAAGUCCUGAGUCUGCAGGAGCUCCUGUGGUAGGCAGAGGGGGUGGGGGUGGGGGGUGGCUGGCUCAGGUCCCUUGCAGACUCCAGGCGGAGUGGGGGGAGCAAGGGAUCCCACGCCAAAGAGCUGGUUCCGGGUCUCGGCCCCGACCGCUUGGCAGCCCCUCGGCCUCGGCUCCCCAGAGGUACCUUCCCUGAAGGGCCGUGGGGAGGACGGUGCUGGAAUGCCUGGCCCGCCGCCCUCCCCCCGCCAUGCAGGGUGAGUCACCGCAUUCCCCUUCGUGGUGUCACGGCCGGGUCGACUUCUGAUUCGGGUGGGGUGCUGCUGACUGACUCAGCUGCUUCCAUUUGGGGAGGCCCCACCCCGAGAAGCUGCAUUCCCUCCAGAACCACUGCCCCAGCGUUCCCCCCCCACCGUCUCACUCGCUGACACCCCAGCGCCCACAGAGGGUACAUGCGGGGUGCGCGGGGUGGCCACACCUGCAUCUUGCGGAGGCUUGGGAAGUCGCCGGGGGAGAUCUGGUGCUCCCGCUCGAUCUUUUGGUAGAUCUCUCCCAGGUUGUUCACCAGCUCUUUCUUCUUGCUCUCUUUACCGAACACAUUGGGCAUCUCCUUCUUGAGGGAGCUGAUGAUGUAGGCGUGGACCUGGAAAGACAGGAAGGGGCGGACGUCAGGCGCGUCCCGGACACCCUCCCGGACACCCUGUCAGGGGGGGACCUGCGCGGGGGCCGCCCCAGAAGGCUGGGACUGUAACUGGGGACGCUGCCCAAAGCAGACCACAGCCCGUGUUCUCUGUGGCACCGGGCACCCCCCAGCCACCCCUCCACGCAGCAGAGAUGAGGGGCACGCCGUACAAGCCGAGCAGAGCCCUGCCAUCCCAUCCCGCAUGUGCAAACGUGUGGCUGAUGAUGUCAAGUUCACAAAACUUCAACAUGGCUGGAGUUAUGCUCAGUUGACCACCCUGAUGGCUCAGAAUGACUAAGGAUUAGGAAAACCACCUAAGGCUUUUCCCAGAUGUUUUGAAGUUUAUCUAAGCUCAAUACCUUACUUACACCUUCGCCAGUUAGGGCCACACCCUUCACUUCCCCACGGCGGGCUGGUGACGCCUGCAACCCUCCCAGGGCCCUGGCCCUCGGAUCCCUCUGCCUUGCCAGGUACUGUCCAGCCGUGAAGGGCUGUAGCCAGCCGGCCUCACCCUCCUUCUCCCGACUGCCAGCUCUACUCCAUCAAAACCCCUCCAGUGGCCUGGCCCUGCCCUGCCCCAGGCUGAGAGCCUGGCUGAGAACCGCCUGAGGGCAGCAGGCCUGUCAAAGAGAGUGGCAGUCACUGCUCCGCCUAUCACAGGCCUGGCGCAGAGAGCCACUCACUCCAGGAAAAGGAAACGGUCUAGAAACCGCAGGUGCGGGACAAGAUGGGAGGCCCCGGGGUUUUCCGGGCACGGUGACUCAAUGUGCCUGUCGGCCGGGUGAUUACAACACCAUUUCUGUGGAUGAGCAAAGAGUCUGCCCUUUGUUGUAUCCUAGAAGGAGGCUGCGCGAGAACACAGGCGGCCCUGCCAACAGGAGGCUGGACAAGGAGAGACCAGAGCCGCCCUUCCCCGCAGCCUGGAAACGGGAGAGACCGGGGGCCAGUGAAGCGGGUUUUCUCAUGGGUCCUUUUCUCAGAACCGACUCCACUCACUGGGAAAGGUCCCGAAGUGAGAGAUCUAGAAAACUGUGCAGCCUGUAUCCCCCAGAGCAGGCUCCUGCACGUUACUGUGCAUACGGACCACCAGCGGAUGGUGUUCAAGUGCAGACGGUUCGGUCGUGCCGGGUAGGGCCUGAGGGCUGCACUUCUAGCACGCUCCAGAAGGGCCCGUGAGCACUGUGGGUAACCAGGGUGGAGACAGGGACCAGUGGUAAAAGAUGAAGGGUCAGUUCUUAUUACUUACGAUAGUGAGCACCCACAGGCUACCUGACUUCGGACCUCCAGAUGGGAUACCGUGAGCCACCGUGUCGGGAGCCCAGGGCGAGGGUUUCACAGGCCAUGGGACCGCCUUCACCGAAGCCCCAACACCCCCAGAACACCCUCCUAUUCCUCCAUGAGCCAGGGGCAGGUGUAAAACCCCCUGCCCUCCGCGGCCACUGCUCCAGGGAGGGGGUGAUGCACAGGGUCCCUGCUCGGCAGCCAUCACCGACAGGCUCGGGCCGAAGCCGAGCUCUGAGCCCCAAGGAUCCGUGACCCUCACACGGGCACUGACGCGGCCUCGGGACGUAUCCAGGCAGGCUCACGACGUGCUGCUAUGCCACAUCAGGGGACACGCUCUGCCCCUCUGUGUCCCAAGGGUACACUGGUGGCACUGACCUUUGCUUCCCAGACCCACCCACGCCGGGGUCUCAGGGAGAGGCUUGGCCAGGCGCUGAGAUCCCAGGGUCGUGAGCAGUUCCGACGCCGCCGGCGGGUGUCGGCAGGCCCUGCGUUUCCACAGAGCACUGGGGACGGUUCACAAGGCCUCUGGGGGCUGAGGCCACCCGGGUUCUCCCUGGGCCCGCAGGCUUGCGCCCCAUCUCUCCACCAGCUCUCACCUGUCCCGGCUCAUGCAUCAGCUCCCACCUGAGGCCUCGCGGUCGCCUGCUGCUGCAACGCCCCAUGGCCACACAAAUAAACUGGGCUUUAUUUGUC